AGGAAAGUGAAGACCCUGGGGGAGGAGGAGCCCUGGCUGGACGACGCGGCCGCGUGGAUCGAGCGCAGCCGGGCGCUCCAGAGGGAGAAAGAACUGGCGGAAAAAAGGGCCAAGCUGCUGGAGGAGAUGGAUCAGGAGUUCGGUGUCAGCCCCUUGGUGGAGGAGGAGUUCCAGCGGCGGCGGCGGGAGCGUUACAGCGCCCGGGACCUGCAGGGGCUGACGGUGGAGCACGACCCGGCCUCGAUCCCCGAGGGACAAACGCUGGUGCUGA